rnacentral:rRNA from 1 species
UACGUAGGGGGCUAGCGUUGUCCGGAAUCAUUGGGCGUAAAGCGCGUGUAGGCGGUUCGGUAAGUCUGCUGUGAAAGUCGGGGGCUCAACCCUCGGAUGCCGGUGGAUACUGCCGGGCUAGAGUACGGAAGAGGCGAGUGGAAUUCCUGGUGUAGCGGUGAAAUGCGCAGAUAUCAGGAGGAACACCAAUUGCGAAGGCAGCUCGCUGGGACGUUACUGACGCUGAGACGCGAAAGCUAGGGGAGCGAACAGG